rnacentral:rRNA from 2 species
CAACUUUCAGCAACGGAUCUCUUGGCUCUCGCAUCGAUGAAGAACGCAGCGAAAUGCGAUAAGUAAUGUGAAUUGCAGAAUUCAGUGAAUCAUCGAAUCUUUGAACGCACCUUGCGCUCCUUGGUAUUCCGAGGAGCAUGCCUGUUUGAGUGUCAUUAAA